UACCAGCUCUCCGAGUGGUAGGGAUGAUUAUUGGGCUUAAAGCGUCCGUAGCCGGCUUGGCGAGUUUCCUGUUAAACUCUGCGACUUAAUCGUUGAAUCGCGGGAAAUACUACUAGGCUAGGAGGCGGGAGAGGUCAACGGUACUUCUGGGGUAGGGGUGAAAUCCUAUAAUCCCGGGAGGACCACCAGUGGCGAAGGCUGUUGGCUAGAACGCGCCCGACGGUGAGGGACGAAAGCUGGGGGAGCGAACCGGAUUAGAUACCCGGGUAGUCCCAGCUGUAAACGAUGCGAGCCAGGUGUUGGGGUGGCUACGUGCCACUUCAGUGCCGCAGGGAAGCCAUUAAGCUCGCCGCCUGGGGAGUACGGCCGCAAGGCUGAAACUUAAAGGAAUUGGCGGGGGAGCACCACAAGGCGUGAAGCUUGCGGUUC
rnacentral:rRNA from 1 species